UCUCCUACUGUUACUUCAGCCAUGCCAUUGAUGACCGUGUAAUCAAUCUAUACAAAACCAAUCACGUCACGAUUCGGUACGACGAAUCUCUCUCUGCCGUGAAGAAGACCCUCGAAGGAAAACCAGAUUCGGCCAAGGGUUAAAGUCGGUGCUGAUCUCUUAGUCUUCAAUAAGUGCUAAAAGCUGCCGAUGAGUAUAGUAGGAGCUUAACAUCACAAUACUAGGCAGCUUUGAGAGGCUUAUGAGAAUGUUGGAAACCACAGGAAAGAGAGUAUCCAGAUUGAAGCUUUUAGUCAGUAGACACAGAGAAAGACGAAGAAUACUUUUAUGCUGAUGGGAACUUUGUAGAAUAUGUUAGAGACAAGGAAGUCAAGGAUGCAUGUCCUGAAAGUAUUGACAUUAAUCCAAUGUAACUAGCCAUAGGAUGAACUUUCUCAAGAAGAUAUUGGAGUCAUAAAGAUGCGUAUUUCUUAACCUGUAGAAAAGGCAAGUCAUUUAGGGCCGUAACAAGUUUUUUUAGCUUUAAGGAGAUUGAAAGGGAACUGGAAUAGGAUAAGAUGACAUUUGAGACACAGCUUAUCAUUAGUUUUGCUAAUUCCAGAAUGGUGACUUCAGUUAAGUCUCAUAUUGAUUUUGCUAUAUCAAAAGCUUUGCUAAAAUGAAAAUGGUGUCCAGUUAACAUUAGUUUUCUUUGCAUGUAUUCAAGAUAUUUAUCAUGAGGAACAAUAAGUUUUCCAGCGUGAAGCUGAUAAAUAUGCAGAGACGGCGGUGACGAAAAUACUAAUCGAGCUGAAGCCUUGCAAUCUGAUUAUGUAUUUGACUAAACUUCAGGGUACGUUUAUAUAUACCUUUAUCUCUAUCUCUAUUGCAUUGGACUACAAUAAACGAGGUCAACUUUUUCCACUUGAAUAAACUUCAGUAACUCUUUAUAGGGUUGAGGUUAUGAGGCAGGUUCAUCUCAGGCUUAACAGGUGCAUUGAAUAAAUAAACUGUUAUAGAGACCCGAUAGUCUCCCAUAGUAAUAUCAUCACGCCUGCGGUAUAAAGGGUUCUAAAAGACAAAAAGAAUCUCUAGAUUUCCAAAAUACAUUGGAACCAGAUACCUUUUUUCCUUAUAUGUGGGUGUUAAUAUGUAACAAACUGAUGAUCACAAGCAUUAUAUAAUAUAGGAGUGGAAGAUGGAGAAGAAGUCUUCAGAUAAGUUCAAUCCGGAUAUUGGUGGAGAGAGCCCAAGAGUAGGAGGCGAGAUAAACGACGAGGAAGCCCCUUUGAUUACGUCCCGUUUAUCUCAUAUUGGUCGGACGCAGCUCGGAAAUCACGCCGCUUAAGAUGCCUGGUAAAAACGCAUGAUAGAAGGUUUUGCUUCCAAAUUCGUUGUUUUUUCUUUGCUACGUAAAAAGAAUCUUUGAAACCAAAAGAGAGGUGCAGCAGCAUCCGAGACCGUGUGUCCUCUCGUGUCUCAGGUGAAGAAUGUUGUACUUGGCUUCAAAAUUUGCAACUUUAUUAAGAAAUAUAUAGCUGAGCAAAAUAGUAGUAUGAUCGAUGAUUAGCUUAAAAAACGUUAAAAAGUCACAUAUUCGUUUAUAAUGAAUUGACAUUAGAGUUAUAUAUA